rnacentral:rRNA from 1 species
UGAACGCUAGCGGCAGGCCUAACACAUGCAAGUCGAGGGGCAUCACGAGGUAGCAAUACUUUGGUGGCGACCGGCGCACGGGUGCGUAACGCGUAUGUAACCUACCUAUAACAGGGGCAUAACACUGAGAAAUUGGUACUAAUUCCCCAUAAUAUUCGGAGAGGCAUCUCUCCGGGUUGAAAACUCCGGUGGUUAUAGAUGGACAUGCGUUGUAUUAGCUAGUUGGUGAGGUAACGGCUCACCAAGGCAACGAUACAUAGGGGGACUGAGAGGUUAACCCCCCACACUGGUACUGAGACACGGACCAGACUCCUACGGGAGGCAGCAGUGAGGAAUAUUGGUCAAUGGACGCAAGUCUGAACCAGCCAUGCCGCGUGCAGGAAGACGGCUCUAUGAGUUGUAAACUGCUUUUGUACGAGGGUAAACUCACCUACGUGUAGGUGACUGAAAGUAUCGUACGAAUAAGGAUCGGCUAACUCCGUGCCAGCAGCCGCGGUAAUACGGAGGAUUCAAGCGUUAUCCGGAUUUAUUGGGUUUAAAGGGUGCGUAGGCGGUUUGAUAAGUUAGAGGUGAAAUCCCGGGGCUUAACUCCGGAACUGCCUCUAAUACUGUUAGACUAGAGAGUAGUUGCGGUAGGCGGAAUGUAUGGUGUAGCGGUGAAAUGCUUAGAGAUCAUACAGAACACCGAUUGCGAAGGCAGCUUACCAAACUAU